UCGCUCCUACCGAUUUGAGUGAUCCGGUGAACCUCCUGGACCGUGUCUGUCCUUGAGACGGAUGUGGGAAGUUAAGUAAACCUUAUCACUUAGAGGAAGGAG
rnacentral:rRNA from 1 species